rnacentral:rRNA from 47 species
UCCGUAGGUGAACCUGCGGAGGGAUCAUUAC